GCUGCUUUCCCCAAUAUAUCUGUUAUAUCUUCACUAAUGUACUUACAUGAUCUUUGAAGUUUCAUGGCUUUAGAAUUUUACUUUCUUUGUUCUUAACAUCUGUUAUAUUCAAAUAUUAUUUUAAUCCAAAUACGUAAUUUGGCAACCAUGGCUUUGCUUUUCUAUAAUUUUUUUUGACAAUAUAACUGUAAUUAUGAUUGGAUUUUGACUGCCAAUUGUGU
rnacentral:misc_RNA from 1 species